rnacentral:rRNA from 3 species
GGUUAAGCGACUAAGCGUACACGGUGGAUGCCCUGGCAGUCAGAGGCGAUGAAGGGCGUGCUAAUCUGCGAUAAGCGCCGGUAAGGUGAUAUGAACCGUUAUAACCGGCGAUACCCGAAUGGGGAAACCCAGUGUGAUUCGUCACACUAUCAUUAACUGAAUCCAUAGGUUAAUGAGGCGAACCGGGGGAACUGAAACAUCUAAGUACCCCGAGGAAAAGAAAUCAACCGAGAUUCCCCCAGUAGCGGCGAGCGAACGGGGAGGAGCCCAGAGCCUGAAUCAGCAUGUGUGUUAGUGGAAGCGUCUGGAAAGGCGCGCGAUACAGGGUGACAGCCCCGUACACAAAAGCGCAUGUGCUGUGAGCUCGAUGAGUAGGGCGGGACACGUGGUAUCCUGUCUGAAUAUGGGGGGACCAUCCUCCAAGGCUAAAUACUCCUGACUGACCGAUAGUGAACCAGUACCGUGAGGGAAAGGCGAAAAGAACCCCGGCGAGGGGAGUGAAAAAGAACCUGAAACCGUGUACGUACAAGCAGUGGGAGCACCCUUCGGGGUGUGACUGCGUACCUUUUGUAUAAUGGGUCAGCGACUUAUAUUCUGUAGCAAGGUUAACCGUAUAGGGGAGCCGGAGGGAAACCGAGUCUUAACCGGGCGUUAAGUUGCAGGGUAUAGACCCGAAACCCGGUGAUCUAGCCAUGGGCAGGUUGAAGGUUGGGUAACACUAACUGGAGGACCGAACCGACUAAUGUUGAAAAAUUAGCGGAUGACCUGUGGCUGGGGGUGAAAGGCCAAUCAAACCGGGAGAUAGCUGGUUCUCCCCGAAAGCUAUUUAGGUAGCGCCUCGUGAAUUCAUCUCCGGGGGUAGAGCACUGUUUCGGCUAGGGGGCCAUCCCGGCUUACCAACCCGAUGCAAACUGCGAAUACCGGAGAAUGUUAUCACGGGAGACACACGGCGGGUGCUAACGUCCGUCGUGAAGAGGGAAACAACCCAGACCGCCAGCUAAGGUCCCAAAGUCAUGGUUAAGUGGGAAACGAUGUGGGAAGGCCCAGACAGCCAGGAUGUUGGCUUAGAAGCAGCCAUCAUUUAAAGAAAGCGUAAUAGCUCACUGGUCGAGUCGGCCUGCGCGGAAGAUGUAACGGGGCUAAACCAUGCACCGAAGCUGCGGCAGCGAACGUAUCACCCAAGACAACUUUACGGAGUUGACGAUUGACGGAGCGAAGCGACGUCAAAGCGUUCAUUAAAGUCGAGUUGGCUUAGGGAUACGUUCGUUGGGUAGGGGAGCGUUCUGUAAGCCUGUGAAGGUGUGUCGUGAGGCAUGCUGGAGGUAUCAGAAGUGCGAAUGCUGACAUAAGUAACGAUAAAGCGGGUGAAAAGCCCGCUCGCCGGAAGACCAAGGGUUCCUGUCCAACGUUAAUCGGGGCAGGGUGAGUCGACCCCUAAGGCGAGGCCGAAAGGCGUAGUCGAUGGGAAACGGGUUAAUAUUCCCGUACUUGGUGUUACUGCGAAGGGGGGACGGAGAAGGCUAUGUUGGCCGGGCGACGGUUGUCCCGGUUUAAGCGUGUAGGUGUGUGUUCCAGGUAAAUCCGGUUCACUUUAACACUGAGGCGUGACGACGAGGCACUACGGUGCUGAAGCAACAAAUGCCCUGCUUCCAGGAAAAGCCUCUAAGCAUCAGGUAACAUCAAAUCGUACCCCAAACCGACACAGGUGGUCAGGUAGAGAAUACCAAGGCGCUUGAGAGAACUCGGGUGAAGGAACUAGGCAAAAUGGUGCCGUAACUUCGGGAGAAGGCACGCUGACACGUAGGUGAAGUGAUUUACUCAUGGAGCUGAAGUCAGUCGAAGAUACCAGCUGGCUGCAACUGUUUAUUAAAAACACAGCACUGUGCAAACACGAAAGUGGACGUAUACGGUGUGACGCCUGCCCGGUGCCGGAAGGUUAAUUGAUGGGGUCAGCGCAAGCGAAGCUCCUGAUCGAAGCCCCGGUAAACGGCGGCCGUAACUAUAACGGUCCUAAGGUAGCGAAAUUCCUUGUCGGGUAAGUUCCGACCUGCACGAAUGGCGUAAUGAUGGCCAGGCUGUCUCCACCCGAGACUCAGUGAAAUUGAACUCGCUGUGAAGAUGCAGUGUACCCGCGGCAAGACGGAAAGACCCCGUGAACCUUUACUAUAGCUUGACACUGAACAUUGAGCCUUGAUGUGUAGGAUAGGUGGGAGGCUUUGAAGUGUGGACGCCAGUCUGCAUGGAGCCGACCUUGAAAUACCACCCUUUAAUGUUUGAUGUUCUAACGUGGACCCGUAAUCCGGGUUGCGGACAGUGUCUGGUGGGUAGUUUGACUGGGGCGGUCUCCUCCUAAAGAGUAACGGAGGAGCACGAAGGUUGGCUAAUCCUGGUCGGACAUCAGGAGGUUAGUGCAAUGGCAUAAGCCAGCUUGACUGCGAGCGUGACGGCGCGAGCAGGUGCGAAAGCAGGUCAUAGUGAUCCGGUGGUUCUGAAUGGAAGGGCCAUCGCUCAACGGAUAAAAGGUACUCCGGGGAUAACAGGCUGAUACCGCCCAAGAGUUCAUAUCGACGGCGGUGUUUGGCACCUCGAUGUCGGCUCAUCACAUCCUGGGGCUGAAGUAGGUCCCAAGGGUAUGGCUGUUCGCCAUUUAAAGUGGUACGCGAGCUGGGUUUAGAACGUCGUGAGACAGUUCGGUCCCUAUCUGCCGUGGGCGCUGGAGAACUGAGGGGGGCUGCUCCUAGUACGAGAGGACCGGAGUGGACGCAUCACUGGUGUUCGGGUUGUCAUGCCAAUGGCACUGCCCGGUAGCUAAAUGCGGAAGAGAUAAGUGCUGAAAGCAUCUAAGCACGAAACUUGCCCCGAGAUGAGUUCUCCCUGAGACUUAGAGUCUCCUGAAGGAACGUUGAAGACGACGACGUUGAUAGGCCGGGUGUGUAAGCGCAGCGAUGCGUUGAGCUAACCGGUACUAAUGAACCGUGAGGCUUAACCUU